CUGCGAUGUUGUUGAAAUGUAUGGGGGAGAGUGAGCCAGCAUCUUGCUGACCUCUCUUGCUGCCUGGAGUAUUACAGCCAACAGAAUGUUACAUUCUAUUCAACUGCAUUAAAGUCUGACAAACGGAGUUCCAAACGACAGCUACAGACAUCAGGCGCCAUCUUGCUCGACUCCAUCCUAGCCUAGAUCUAUUAAUAGUCACAUCCAGCUCGCUGCUGAAAGAAACUGGAAAUUAGAAACUAGAAACUAUUUCUACUUUGCUUUUGACUGUCAUUGAAGCUCAAGUCUAAACCUCGAUCGGUUAUUAACGGAGACAAAACUCCAGACACUUUCUCUUGCUAAACAAUAAUGAAAGGACCACGAACUUAAAUACACGUCCAUGAAAGGACUGUAGAACAAUGUUCAAAAGUUUGAUGGAAAAAAAAAUGGUUUGCAUACCCAAGAGAGAAGACACGAUAAGAAGAUUCAGCAUCGUGGAGAGCUUACUAAACAAGAUAACUUUCCAUGCAGUGCGGUGCACCUUAUCAUUUCAUCAGGUGUUUCCUUAUCGCGACAUUUUCAGACUAGCUUCGACCGAGAAAAAUCUGGCUGAGUGAAAAGCCUUUCUACUAAAAUGUUUUUGCCAAAUAAAAAUAAAUAUCAAA